rnacentral:misc_RNA from 1 species
UUUAGGGAGACCUACCCACUCAGAUAUCGAACACAAUCAGUCAUUAGAUAUUGAGUUGGUCAUCCUAAGGUCGGUCGAGAUUGGUUGAAACUUUCAAAGUAUUAAUGGYUCGGUUAAUCARUGCUCAAAGCUAUCUCAAAUAUCUGGAUAUAUAAACUCAGCAACAAGGCUUAGGUGCCAGACUGCUGGGAGAGAAAACCAGCCAGAACCUUGAAAACUGCAUAGUGACGCGAAAAAAAAUGCAGGCAGACACAGACAUAAGUCAUGUUCGUGGAUGCUUUAAAGUGAAACACCAAAAUGUUUGRGU